rnacentral:rRNA from 1 species
GUAGUCUGCAACUCGACUACAUGAAGCUGGAAUCGCUAGUAAUCGCGAAUCAGAAUGUCGCGGUGAAUACGUUCCCGGGUCUUGUACACACCGCCCGUCACACCAUGGGAGUCAGUAACGCCCGAAGUCAGUGACCCCAACCGAACAGGGAGGGAGCUGCCGAAGGUGGGACCGAUAACUGGGGUGAAGUCGUAACAAGGUACC